GACGAACGCUGGCGGCGUGCUUAACACAUGCAAGUCGAACGGACUGCAUARCUUGUUGUGUGGUUAGUGGCGAACGGGUGAGUAACACGUGAGUAACCUGCCCCCUUCUUUGGGAUAAGCACCUGAAAGGGUGUCUAAUACUGAUUAUUCUGCAUUCCGCGCAUGUGGUUUGUUGGAAAGGUUUUUCUGGUGGGGGAUGGGCUCGCGGCUUAUCAGCUUGUUGGUGGGGUAAUGGCUUACCAAGGCUUUGACGGGUAACCGGCCUGAGAGGGUGACCGGUCACAUUGGGACUGAGAUACGGCCCAGACUCCUACGGGAGGCAGCAGUGGGGAAUAUUGCACAAUGGGCGAAAGCCUGAUGCAGCGACGCCGCGUGAGGGAUGAAGGCCUUCGGGUUGUAAACCUUUUUCGCUUUUGAUCAAGGCGCGUCUUUGGGGCGUGUUGAGAGUAUGAGGUAAAGAAGCACCGGCUAACUACGUGCCAGCAGCCGCGGUAAUACGUAGGGUGCGAGCGUUGUCCGGAAUUAUUGGGCGUAAAGGGCUUGUAGGUGGCUUGUCGCGUCUGUCGUGAAAUGUGCUGGCUUAACUGGUGCAGUGCGGUGGGUACGGGCAGGCUUGAGUGUGGUAGGGGAGAUUGGAAUUCCUGGUGUAGCGGUGGAAUGCACAGAUAUCAGGAAGAACACCGGUGGCGAAGGCGGAUCUCUGGGCCAUUACUGACGCUGAGGAGCGAAAGCGUGGGGAGCGAACAGGAUUAGAUACCCUGGUAGUCCACGCUGUAAACGUUGGGCACUAGGUGUGGGGAUCGUCGUGGUUUCUGCGCCGUAGCUAACGCAUAAGUGCCCCGCCUGGAGAG
rnacentral:rRNA from 1 species